UCUCCAUCUCUCCAUUUCACAAUCUCUCCAUCUCUCCAUUUCACAAUCUCUCCGUCUCUCCAUCUCUCCAUU